ACGCUCGACACCUACUGGAGGCAGCAGUGAGGAAUAUUGGUCAAUGGGCGCUAGCCUGAACCAGCCAAGUAGCGUGAAGGAUGAAGGCUCUAUGGGUCGUAAACUUCUUUUAUAUAAGAAUAAAGUGCAGUAUGUAUACUGUUUUGUAUGUAUUAUAUGAAUAAGGAUCGGCUAACUCCGUGCUAGCAGCCGCGGUAAUCUGAGGCGGGCUGGCAAGGC
rnacentral:rRNA from 1 species